AAGCAAUUGGAAAAAGAAAACGAAAGGAACACAAAAUCGAACUGUGGAGAUUGGAGUUUAUAUGACCGGGAGAAAUUGCUGAAGUGCACAAGAACUAGUUUCUCUUCUUAAUUAUCAGAUUCUGCGAUCUGGGUUUUGAGAAGAAAAAAACCAUAUUUUCUCAGGAAAAUCCGUAAAAGUUUUCCUUUUCUUCUUCGUACAUUUGUAAUAUUGGGUUCGAUAAACUAUCGUCAUCUGAGUUUUAUGUUGUUGGGUUGUGAAUCUUUUGAUCUGGGUCCCUCUGUUUCGGCUUCAUAAAUUGGAGACUGAGUGUUUCAGUGUGUAAAAAAAAUGAAGGAAAAGCUUGGAUUUUUAGUGUGUGUGUGGUUUCUGCUAUGUAGGGUUUGUGUGGGGAGGUUCGUGGUGGAGAAGAACAGGUUGAAAGUGACUUCUCCGAGCUCGAUGAAGGGCGAUUACGAAUGUGCGAUUGGGAACUUUGGGGUUCCUCCAUACGGAGGAACGUUGGUCGGAACUGUACUAUCCGAAGACCAAUCAGAUGGCAUGCAAAGGGUUUGAAGAUACCGACGAAACCUUCAAACCGAAGCCCCGUGGUCUGCCGACGUUUGUUCUUGUCGAUCGAGGAGAUUGUUACUUCACAACGAAGGCAUGGAAUGCACAGAAAGCGGGAGCGGCCGCCAUUCUUGUUGCAGAUGACAGGAAUGAACCGUUGAUUACCAUGGACACUCCUGAAGAAGAAAAUGCGGAUGCUGCUGAUUAUCUGCAGAAUAUCACAAUUCCUUCGGCUCUCAUUAGCAAAGAGUUGGGAGAUAGUAUAAAAAAAUCUCUAUCGGGUGAUGAGAUGGUCAACAUAAAUCUAGACUGGACAGAGGCUCUUCCACAUCCAGAUGAACGUGUUGAGUACGAGUUUUGGACGAAUAGCAAUGAUGUGUGCGGGCCAAAGUGCGACAGCCAGAUUGAGUUUGUGAAGAACUUUAAAGGAGCAGCUCAGGUACUUGAGCGGAAGGGGUACACCCAAUUUACUCCACACUAUAUAACAUGGUACUGUCCAGAAGCUUUUGUUUCGAGCAAACAGUGCGAGUCUCAGUGUAUCAAUCAUGGGAGGUACUGUGCUCCUGAUCCAGAGCAAGAUUUCAGUGAAGGUUAUGAUGGGAAAGAUGUUGUGGUCCAAAAUCUCCGUCAAGCUUGCUUCUAUAAAGUGGCCAAUGAAAGUGGAAAGCCAUGGCUUUGGUGGGACUAUGUCACUGACUUUGCGAUACGUUGCCCAAUGAAAGAGAAGAAGUACAACCAAGAAUGUGCAAAUCAAGUUAUUGAAUCCCUUGGUGCUGAUCUGAAGAAGAUACAGGAAUGUAUUGGCGACCCUGAAGCUGAUGAGGAGAAUGCAGUUCUGAAGGCCGAACAGGAUGCCCAGAUUGGCAAGGGCUCCCGUGGAGAUGUUACAAUAUUGCCAACUCUUGUUAUAAACCGCGUACAGUACAGAGGGAAACUGGACAAAGGAGCUGUUCUCAAAGCCAUCUGUUCUGGUUUCCUAGAGAACACUGAGCCCGCUGUCUGUUUAAGUGAAGAUGUGCAAACAAAUGAGUGUUUGGAAAACAAUGGAGGUUGCUGGUAUGACAGAGCUGCUAACCUUACGGCUUGCAGGGAUACGUUCCGCGGACGAGUGUGUGAAUGCCCUAUUGUGCAAGGCGUAAAGUUUGUUGGCGAUGGGUAUACUCACUGUGAAGCUACAGGAGCAUUACGUUGUGGAAUCAACAAUGGAGGUUGUUGGAAGGAAACCCGAACCGGCAGUACUUACUCCGCUUGUCGUGAUGACCUUACAAACGGUUGCAGUUGUCCACCAGGAUUCAAGGGUGAUGGAGAGAAAACAUGUGAAGAUGUGGAUGAGUGCAAGGAGAAAACGGCUUGCCAAUGUGCACACUGCAAAUGCAAGAAUACUUGGGGCAGUUACGACUGCAGUUGCGGUGGUGGUUUACUGUACAUGCGAGGAUAUGAUGCAUGCAUAGGUAAAAACGCCAGUGGUUCUGGGUCUAGCCGGGGAUUAAUAUGGAUAAUCAUUCUCUGCUUGGGUGCUGUCGGAGUUGGGGGAUACAUAGUUUACAAGUAUCGAAUCAGGAGAUACAUGGAUUCAGAGAUCCGGGCAAUCAUGGCGCAGUACAUGCCGUUGGAUAAUGAAGGAGCAGUUCCCGGCCACGUCUCCCGCGGGGAUAUCUGAAGCUGGCGGGGACGUAUUCGUAAGAUAUAAGAUGCUGUCCGAGAGAAAAGGGAAGACAGACGACGUCCUGAAAUCCUAUGUCCUCCUCUAGCCUCUAGGCACUAACAAUCGGUUCACUGGCGAGAGUGUAAUGUUUUAAAUGUGUCUAGCAUCGGCGUUACUCCACAUGUUUCGCAUUAUAUUUUCUAGUAGAAAACAAUUGUCCGUCGUUGUUGUCAUAAAUGUAAAACACACCACAGAAAACUAGUUACAAGUACUAUUCCGGCUUCGAGGCAAA